CUAUUGAUAUUACAUUUGGGGGACAAAUGCCAACAUCACAUUUUUCAAAAUUGACAAUGUAAUUUGUUAUCAACAUAAUAACCUUGAUAAGUAAUAAUAUAGACUUUAUUUAAAAGCUUGUGUAAUCAAUGAACUUAAUUUGGCGGGGAAAAACAUUCAAUGAUUGAUCAAAGUCAUAGUCGGAGAAGCAAGAGGAAUAUUAUAUCCAACAUGCAUGUGCUUCUAGCCCUCUUCUUUUCGU